CCUACGGGUGGCAGCAGUGAGGAAUAUUGGUCAAUGGCCGUAAGGCUGAACCAGCCAAGUCGCGUGAAGGAAGAAGGAUCUAUGGUUUGUAAACUUCUUUUAUAGGGGAAUAAAGGUAUCCACGUGUGGAUUUUUGCAUGUACCCUAUGAAUAAGCAUCGGCUAACUCCGUGCCAGCAGCCGCGGUAAUACGGAGGAUGCGAGCGUUAUCCGGAUUUAUUGGGUUUAAAGGGUGCGUAGGUUGUUUUUUAAGUCAGCUGUGAAAGUUUGUGGCUCAACCGUAAAAUUGCCGUUGAUACUGGCAGCCUUGAGUGUGUUUGAGGUAGGCGGAAUGCGUGGUGUAGCGGUGAAAUGCAUAGAUAUCACGCAGAACUCCGAUUGCGAAGGCAGCUUACUAAGCCAUAACUGACACUGAGGCACGAAAGCGUGGGGAUCAAACAGGAUUAGAUACCCCAGUAGUC
rnacentral:rRNA from 1 species